AAUAAAUAUAAAUUUGUUUUAAAUAUAUAAUAUGCAGAUUGCAGGUACAUGACGUCUUCUGGGACCAGGAGUCGCGUGACCUAUUUUCAUGGCCUAGAGAAUUAUGCUCCUUAAUAUUCAUAGGGAUAUUAAAAUUACUCCAGAAGAAGUUUUUGAAGAAUUCAGUAAAAAACACACGAGAAAAUUACAGUUACAAUAUAUCACCCCCUGAUAAAAUUUCCUGGUUCUGCGCCUGCAUUUCUCCGUAAGGAAGACGGAACCUGGGAACGCAGAUAACAAGAAAAAGCUGAAAUAUACGCUCAGCAUAUUGAACAUGUAUUUAAUAUUUAUACCAAAAACUAUCAACUCUAAGCUCGACAUUUUACAAUGCCAACUGCUUAAUGCAACACGUGAAAAAAUCAAACAUUUCUUGCUGUUAGAAAUUGUUUAAGAAAUAGACAAAAACUUAAACCCAAAACAAAUCACCAGGCUUUAUGAUGAGAUUAGUCCAAAAAUACUGAAAGAACUUCCAAAGAAGGCUAUCAUUCAUCUUACGCACUGCAUAUACAACCCUAUUUAACGAAAUACAUUCCAGAACAAUGGAAACGGGCAUAAGUGAUCAUGUUGGUCGAACCAGAAAAGCUGCCUGAAAAUGUCACAUCAUACCGACCAAUAUUACUCCUUCCAAGUUUAUCUAAACUUUUAGAGAAACUUCUGCUUAAACGCCUAAAACCGAUUAUAAUGUAGAGGGAACAAAUCUUGUAUCAGAAUAUCAGUUUGUAUUUCGUAACACACGUUCGAUAAUCGUUCAAGCACAUCGAGUUAUUAAUGUGAAAGCUGUUGAAGAAAAAAAUUACUGCUGUGGAGUAUUCCUUGACGUAGCUCAGGCUUUUGACAAAGUCUGGCACAAAGGAUUCCUCAUCAAACUCCAUGAUCAGCUGUUACGUCAUACAACAUACCUGAUGAACACUUCUUGAAUCAUGAACUUGAUCGACUGUCAAUUUCGAGUCAUACACGAAAAAUCAAUAACUGAAUGGAAAGACUUUUAAACUGGAAUACUGCAAGGAAGUGUUUGAGGACCUAUCAUGUACUACUAACCUACGACUGAUAAACCAAACGAUAACAACAAGACGUUAGCUAUUUUUGCCGUCGACACGUUAUAGUCAGCUCACUGCAACUGAUAAAUUACAGAAGUCAAUUGAAAGUAUCUUUGCGUGAACAAGAAGUUGGAAAAUUUAGAUCAAUUGCAAUAAAUCGGUGCACGUUAACUAAACAUUACUCAAAACCGAAAACAUACAAAUAGUUCUGAAUCAAUCACCAAUCCCGCAAAAAGAUUCAGCAUAAUAUCUUUGAAUGCACCUUGACUCUUGUCUAAACUGAAAACACCACGUCCGUCAGAAAACUAUUCAGAUUAAAGAAAAAAUGUGAAAACUUUAUUGAUUAAUCGGACCCCACUUCGAGUUAACCAUCGAAAACAAACGUCUACUAUAUAUAGCAAUUUUAAAACCAUUCUGGAUUUAUGGCAUUUAACUGUGGGGUUGUUGUGCCUGCUGUAAUACAAUGCUGUCAAAACAUCACCCUUCAUAUCAUUGCAGCCUACUGGCUACCGGUUCGAAAGAAACAACUCAAUUCACCGUGAUAUGAUGAUGCCUACAAUAGCAUACGAGAUCCAAAGGUUUGCUCGCAAACACGAGAUAAGACUAGAUCACCAUGUCAAUCCAUUGGCCAUCCAAUUAUUAGAUAACUCCAAGGACAUCAGAUGUCUUAAGCGUCUGAAACCAUACGACUUAGUAAUUAGUUUAAGAAUUUAGAUUAAAGCAAGAGUCACUUCAUGGAAGUGACUCCAUCAACGGGUAAUAUACAUAUAAUUUAUAUUUUAUACCUAGUAUGUAAAAUAUAUGUGAUUGACGAUUGUUAAA